ACUAGGCACUUGCCUGUGGCGCCAUCAUCCUGGGGGCACCUUCGUCCCAGGAGGAUGGCACCACCCCCAACCUACUUCUCCUUUGGGCCAUCUGGCGGCUGCGCUGGGCCUCCUGGCGGCCACACUGGGUUUCCUGGUGCCCGUCCUGGGCCUCCCGCCUUCGUGCCAUGCAGGCCCACCUUUGGGGCCUUCAGAGAUUGUGAGGUCUGUGGGAACUUGGAAGCUAGGAACUGCAAACUCCUAAGGGCUGGAAAGGGCUGUGUCAAAUAAGGCAGCCAUAUCUAAUCACACCAAAGCAACAGCUCCUGGUCUAUUAAUAUGCCACUUUGCACAAGACGUAUUGUCUAGCACUACAGAGUGAGGAAAGGUGGUGAUGAAGAGCAUUUUCAGACCUCAGGUUCUUCUGUAAAGUCCCAAAGUAACUCUGCAUAAUUAAUCACACAGAGAGAAAAGCAAAUUCAAAGAUGAGGGUCAAAUUAGCAUAAAAUUAAAUCAGAACUUGGAAAACGACUUUUGAAAGGAGUCUGUUCCUGCUGCACGUUACAGAGGUUGAAGUCUGUUUGCUGCAAUGCUGAAAAAAUACCAUUGGCAUUAUUUGCUGCACUGUUUGCUACAUUUCUGUUUUUGUGUAUCCCUAAUCUGAAAUACUUCAGACCAAAACCAUUUUGGAUAUUGGAUUAUUUUUUUUUCUUGGAAGAUUUACAUAUACCUAAUAAGAUAUUGUGCAGAUGAGACCCAAGUCUAUACACAAACUUCAUUUGUUACAUAUGCAACUUAUAUGCAUAUCUCAAAGGUAAUUUUAUACAAUUUUUUUUUUAUAAUUUUGUAUACACUGAAUACAAAAGUGUCACUAUCUCAGCCACCUAGGUAGACAAUUUUGGAUUUUGAGGAUUUUAGAAUUAUUUAUGAAGGAUGCACAAUCUAUUCUUUCCAUAAUUUUGUUGAAACAAAAAAAAAACACAGCCAAAAACAUUUGAAAUUCCUGUGAAAACAUUCCCAAAAGACUGUUGAAAAGUGACAUUGAAAGAAAUUAACUAGAAUCCACUUUUAGUUAUUACUGUGCCAAUAAAAUAAUUUGUUUUUACUCAUUGGUAGUACAUAGUUCCAUAGUUAGAGCUGAUGAAUAAAUUAUAUUAAGCAAAAAUA